rnacentral:lncRNA from 1 species
GUCUCAUGCUCUGAUGGGCGAUUCACAUGCUCUGAUGGGCGGGUCUCAUGCUCUGAUGGGCGGGUCUCAUGAGCUGAUGGGCGUCAUAUGCUCUGAUGGGUCUCAUGCUCUGAUGGGUGAAUCACAUGCUCUGAUGGGUCUCAUGCGCUGAUGGGUGGGUCACAUGCUCUGAUAGGUGGGUCACAUGCUCUGAUGGGCGAUUCACAUGCUCUGAUGGGUGGGUCACAUGCUCUGAUGGGCGGGUCUCAUGCGCUGAUGGGCGGGUCUCAUGCGCUGAUGGGCGGGUCUCAUGCUCUGAUGGGCGGGUCUCAUGCUCUGAUGGGCGGGUCUCAUGCUCUGAUGGGCGAAUCACAUGCUCUGAUGGGUCUGAUGGAUCGACGUGUGUCACAAUGAGAUCUCAGUGACGUCACUCAUCAGCAGCCCUCUCGUCUGAACGCAAGACUCACGGGUGGAUCUGUGUUUGUGAUUUUCCGCUCUGAUAUUCCUGCAGGAUCUUCUCCAGCUCUUCUAAACACAGGCUGAUCGCUCGCCUCGACACCGGAGCCAUUUUGAACCUACGAGAAAAAAACAACAAUCAGAAGGAGUGAAAGCAGACUGACGAGAGCUCAGGGUUGC